rnacentral:rRNA from 1 species
GACUCGUCACACUAUCAUUAACUGAAUCCAUAGGUUAAUGAGGCGAACCGGGGGAACUGAAACAUCUAAGUACCCCGAGGAAAAGAAAUCAACCGAGAUUCCCCCAGUAGCGGCGAGCGAACGGGGAGGAGCCCAGAGCCUGAAUCAGCAUGUGUGUUAGUGGAAGCGUCUGGAAAGGCGCGCGAUACAGGGUGACAGCCCCGUACACAAAAGCGCAUGUGCUGUGAGCUCGAUGAGUAGGGCGGGACACGUGGUAUCCUGUCUGAAUAUGGGGGGACCAUCCUCCAAGGCUAAAUACUCCUGACUGACCGAUAGUGAACCAGUACCGUGAGGGAAAGGCGAAAAGAACCCCGGCGAGGGGAGUGAAAAAGAACCUGAAACCGUGUACGUACAAGCAGUGGGAGCACAGGUUUACCUGUGUGACUGCGUACCUUUUGUAUAAUGGGUCAGCGACUUAUAUUCUGUAGCAAGGUUAACCGUAUAGGGGAGCCGUAGGGAAACCGAGUCUUAACCGGGCGUUAAGUUGCAGGGUAUAGACCCGAAACCCGGUGAUCUAGCCAUGGGCAGGUUGAAGGUUGGGUAACACUAACUGGAGGACCGAACCGACUAAUGUUGAAAAAUUAGCGGAUGACCUGUGGCUGGGGGUGAAAGGCCAAUCAAACCGGGAGAUAGCUGGUUCUCCCCGAAAGCUAUUUAGGUAGCGCCUCGUGAAUUCAUCUCCGGGGGUAGAGCACUGUUUCGGCUAGGGGGCCAUCCCGGCUUACCAACCCGAUGCAAACUGCGAAUACCGGAGAAUGUUAUCACGGGAGACACACGGCGGGUGCUAACGUCCGUCGUGAAGAGGGAAACAACCCAGACCGCCAGCUAAGGUCCCAAAGUCAUGGUUAAGUGGGAAACGAUGUGGGAAGGCCCAGACAGCCAGGAUGUUGGCUUAGAAGCAGCCAUCAUUUAAAGAAAGCGUAAUAGCUCACUGGUCGAGUCGGCCUGCGCGGAAGAUGUAACGGGGCUAAACCAUGCACCGAAGCUGCGGCAGCGACGCUGAUGCGUUGUUGGGUAGGGGAGCGUUCUGUAAGCCUGUGAAGGUGGCCUGUGAGGGUUGCUGGAGGUAUCAGAAGUGCGAAUGCUGACAUAAGUAACGAUAAAGCGGGUGAAAAGCCCGCUCGCCGGAAGACCAAGGGUUCCUGUCCAACGUUAAUCGGGGCAGGGUGAGUCGACCCCUAAGGCGAGGCCGAAAGGCGUAGUCGAUGGGAAACGGGUUAAUAUUCCCGUACUUGGUGUUACUGCGAAGGGGGGACGGAGAAGGCUAUGUUGGCCGGGCGACGGUUGUCCCGGUUUAAGCGUGUAGGUGUGUGUUCCAGGUAAAUCCGGUUCACUUUAACACUGAGGCGUGAUGACGAGGCACUACGGUGCUGAAGCAACAAAUGCCCUGCUUCCAGGAAAAGCCUCUAAGCAUCAGGUAACAUCAAAUCGUACCCCAAACCGACACAGGUGGUCAGGUAGAGAAUACCAAGGCGCUUGAGAGAACUCGGGUGAAGGAACUAGGCAAAAUGGUGCCGUAACUUCGGGAGAAGGCACGCUGACACGUAGGUGAAGUGAUUUACUCAUGGAGCUGAAGUCAGUCGAAGAUACCAGCUGGCUGCAACUGUUUAUUAAAAACACAGCACUGUGCAAACACGAAAGUGGACGUAUACGGUGUGACGCCUGCCCGGUGCCGGAAGGUUAAUUGAUGGGGUCAGCGCAAGCGAAGCUCCUGAUCGAAGCCCCGGUAAACGGCGGCCGUAACUAUAACGGUCCUAAGGUAGCGAAAUUCCUUGUCGGGUAAGUUCCGACCUGCACGAAUGGCGUAAUGAUGGCCAGGCUGUCUCCACCCGAGACUCAGUGAAAUUGAACUCGCUGUGAAGAUGCAGUGUACCCGCGGCAAGACGGAAAGACCCCGUGAACCUUUACUAUAGCUUGACACUGAACAUUGAGCCUUGAUGUGUAGGAUAGGUGGGAGGCUUUGAAGCGUGGACGCCAGUCUGCAUGGAGCCGGCCUUGAAAUACCACCCUUUAAUGUUUGAUGUUCUAACGUGGACCCGUGAUCCGGGUUGCGGACAGUGUCUGGUGGGUAGUUUGACUGGGGCGGUCUCCUCCUAAAGAGUAACGGAGGAGCACGAAGGUUGGCUAAUCCUGGUCGGACAUCAGGAGGUUAGUGCAAUGGCAUAAGCCAGCUUGACUGCGAGCGUGACGGCGCGAGCAGGUGCGAAAGCAGGUCAUAGUGAUCCGGUGGUUCUGAAUGGAAGGGCCAUCGCUCAACGGAUAAAAGGUACUCCGGGGAUAACAGGCUGAUACCGCCCAAGAGUUCAUAUCGACGGCGGUGUUUGGCACCUCGAUGUCGGCUCAUCACAUCCUGGGGCUGAAGUAGGUCCCAAGGGUAUGGCUGUUCGCCAUUUAAAGUGGUACGCGAGCUGGGUUUAGAACGUCGUGAGACAGUUCGGUCCCUAUCUGCCGUGGGCGCUGGAGAACUGAGGGGGGCUGCUCCUAGUACGAGAGGACCGGAGUGGACGCAUCACUGGUGUUCGGGUUGUCAUGCCAAUGGCACUGCCCGGUAGCUAAAUGCGGAAGAGAUAAGUGCUGAAAGCAUCUAAGCACGAAACUUGCCCCGAGAUGAGUUCUCCCUGAGACUUAGAGUCUCCUGAAGGAACGUUGAAGACGACGACGUUGAUAGGCCGGGUGUGUAAGCGCAGCGAUGCGUUGAGCUAACCGGUACUAAUGAACCGUGAGGCUUAACCUUACAACGCCGAAG